UACGUAGGUGGCAAGCGUUGUCCGGAAUUAUUGGGCGUAAAGCGCGCGCAGGCGGUCCUUUAAGUCUGAUGUGAAAGCCCACGGCUCAACCGUGGAGGGUCAUUGGAAACUGGGGGACUUGAGUGCAGAAGAGGAAAGCGGAAUUCCACGUGUAGCGGUGAAAUGCGUAGGGAUGUGGAGGAACACCAGUGGCGAAGGCGGCUUUCUGGUCUGUAACUGACGCUGAGGCGCGAAAGCGUGGGGAGCAAACAGG
rnacentral:rRNA from 1 species